UACGGAGGGGGCUAGCGUUGUUCGGAAUUACUGGGCGUAAAGCGAGUGUAGGUGGUUGUCGUAGUCAGGUGUGAAAGCCUUGAGCUCAACUCAAGAAAUGCACUUGAUACUGGGCAGCUAGAGGACCGGAGAGGAUAGUGGAAUUCCCAGUGUAGUGGUGAAAUACGUAGAGAUUGGGAAGAACACCAGUGGCGAAGGCGGCUAUCUGGACGGUUUCUGACACUAAGACUCGAAAGCGUGGGGAGCAAACAGG
rnacentral:rRNA from 1 species